GUGAAUCAUCGAAUCUUUGAACGCAAAUUGCGCCUUUUUCGGAAGGCAUGUCUGUUUGAGGGCACCAUUUAACAAAUAAUGUGCAUUUUUUUUUCACACGGUUAUUAGCUUUCCAAAAUUUUGGUAUAUUUUUUUUUGGCGCAUAUUAUACACAGCGCUACUUUUUUUUUGUUUUAGUGUAUUAAAAUUUUUUUUUUUUUGUGUUUUGUAAAAGCGGU
rnacentral:misc_RNA from 1 species